GACCCGGUGGUGAAGUGGAAACACAGGAGUCUGCAAAACUCUUACGCAGGGGUUCGAUUCCCCUCCGGGUCUCAA
rnacentral:tRNA from 1 species